CUGAAUUUGAGUUUCUUGCAGAUUUUCACAUCAGAUUAACAAAUUUUCAGUGAUCAAAAGCUUAGUUCUAAAAUACAACAUUCCUGGAGGUAGCCUCAAAUCUAUCUCUAGUUCUCCAGCAUGCCUUUUUGAAUUUGUGGUGUGUGAGGUUGGGGGCUGCUGACCACUAUCUUCAAGGCUGCAGAUGAGAGCGACUUCUCUUUGAUGAUUUUCAAGAAAGCCGUGCUGUGAAGUGGCAAAGUCUCCAGGAAGCAAGAUGCCAUUGCCUCUGGGGAAACUGGUCCUUCUUUCCAGUGUGGUGGCCAGUGGGAGCUGCACCCUUAUAUAUUACCUUAUACGAAACUGCCUUUCUUUGAAGAUCCUUUAUGCCCACCCAGCCUGGCUUCUCACCCUGACUCUGCACCAUUUUCACUUCCUGCCAGGACGUAUCACCAGCAGACAGGCAGAGAGCGCUCAGUGUCCUGUGCAUCCCUUCUCCCCCACCUUCCUUCAGCCUUGGCCCAGGGCUCUCUGAGUCUUGAGGUGGCCUGAGGCGAGCACAGCCAGGGGUAAUUCAGACUGGAAUAGCUCAGCCUCCUCUCCCCUCUGCCAAAGGGGUGGGAGCAGGACACAACAGGAAUGGGUACAUUUUAUGGGUCAGGAGACCGAGGUCUUUCCUCCUCAGUACGCCGGGCUCGUCCAGGAGAGAUAGCCCAGCUGGCAUCUAUAGCCAACCGCCUGAGUUGAAUGCCAGAGCCAGCUCUGCGCUGGCUGUGUAGCCUUGUGGGAGGAUCUCUCACCUCCAUUAUCUGUGUGAUGAGGGGCAACACUAGUGCCUGUGCAUGAGGUUGUUGUAAAAUUAAAUAAAUUGUAAGACAUAGGAGAUACUGAGAAUGGUGUCUCACCAUGGAAAUCUGGACCCGACCUGUGCUCCUCCUUUUCCUGUCUUGGCUGGCACCAUGCUCAUACUUCCCAGUCCUGGGAAGUAGCCCAGGGUGAGCAUCCUCCCUGGCCUCUCCUGUCUCAGGCCAUCCUCCCUUUUCAUACUGGGAUGGGGCCUACAGGAGGGAAGCUCUUUCUUGUUGCCAAACUGAAACCCCUACUUGGGAAGCCUACCUUUGCUCUCUCCCGAAGGCAGCUCGUCUACCUUAUACCUUCAGGGAGGAACUUCCUGGGGUUUCUGGUAGCCUUUGGCCCAAGAAAUGUACCUGAGACUGAGAGCAGCUUAUAAGCAGCUUAACCUACAUGAAAUGUUGCCUUAAAUCUAUAAACUUGACAAACCAGCAUUUUCACGUUCUGUUUCUUGGCCCAAAGGUUUUGUUACUGUUGCUGUUGGGGGAUAUUUUAUGCUGGUUUAUUGGGGCCUUCAUCCUAGUGAAAGGAGCAAUGUUUAGAAGUCCAGAGUCAUAGAUUUUGGCCCCAGCUCUACCAUGGAUGAGCCAUGUCACUUUGAGCAAGUCAUGGAAUCACAGGACUUUAGAACUGAAAGGAAAGCCAGAAAGGAUCUGGGCAAACCCCUUAGAUGAAGAAACGAGGCAACGAAUAAGGUGGGAAAUGGGAGAUGAAGGAAUUGAGGUACGGAAAGAAUCAAGUACCUUGCUCAAGGUCAUCUGCCACGUUCCCGCAGAUACUGACUGUUAGGGUCAGGUGUAAGGCAGGGUAAAGAUAGGAGUCAGAGGCUAAAAAAUUUUAGCAAAGGCUUUAUUUGGGAACUAAGGUCUCGGGCUAGGUUCUGUGACUCAGGGAGAGAGAGAGAGGAGUCAGGGAAGUCGCGCCCGGGUAUGGUGGGGUAGGGUUUUUAAGCUGCAGCAGUUCCGGGUUUAGGCUCGGGUGGGUCUUUCUCUUGUACCAGGUUGUGCUGGCGCUCGGUGAUUGGUUGACCUUCAGUUUGUUCCCGCGCGCUGCUUGGGGCUUCAGUUUGUUCAGGCGUGCUGGCAAGAGGGCCGUCCCCUUCCAGGGACAUCCUAACAUUCCAACCUCUUAUUGGUGAUAAUGGGCGAGGGAUCUGAUCUGGCUGCUUCCUGCGGGUGUAAGGGUGAUGCCAUAGUAUGUGGGGUCUGAGGUUGGAAUGCAGGAAUAGGGCCAGACCACCAUCCGAUGAAAUGCGACCUGGGAAACUUCAUGAAUUCGUUUCCAUAUGAAACGGAGAAAACAAGGUAAGAGCAUAAGUAUUAUACAGAUAGAAACUAGUGGGGUGACUAUGGGGAGGAGCCAAGUUAGGUGGGGUGAUUGCCACCAGGAGGUUAGGGGGUCUGAGGAUCCUGGGUGGGCAGAUAGAGUUUUUUGGAUUUCCUUUAGGUGUUCUAUAUUGGUUUCAACUAAGCCUGACUCAUUGAGGUAGUAGCAACAUUCUUCCCUCAGGAACAGGCAUGUUCCCCCUUUUUCUGCUGUCAGGAGACCUAGGGCUCGUUGGUUUCGUAGAGUGACCUGUGCUAGGGAGUUGAUCUGCCUUUGUAAGUUGGAUAGGGAGGUUGAUGAGGCUUCUAUUGCGAUCUGGAGCCUGUCUGACAGGUCCCUGGAGGAGGUAAUGGAGUGUGUGAGGGAGCCGGUCCCAACCCUGGCGGCCAAUAGGGACGUGGCUAGCGAGAGACCAUUAGUGGGAGGAAAACAACUCGUUUUUGGAGACGGAAUUCUAGGAGUUGAUGGAGUUCUUCCUGUCCGUAUAGGAAGCUUUUUCCAGGGCUUCCUAUUACCAGCUAGCAUUGGAGCAGCUGCACAGCUACCCCGAGGCCCUGGCGGCUCUGGGCCCUCCGCUUUUGUCCAUUAGCUCCACCUCACCGACAAGUACAGCUUCGUGGACAUUGCCAAUGCCCAGUGGUUUUUUGAAUAUGGUUGUAAGUACUCAGAGCCCUGAGUUUGCACAUAAGGUCUCUGCCAAAUAGGAGGACUGCCACUGACCUCACCAAACCAUCCAAAGAGGGGCAGGACAGUUGGAGGGAGCCAGAUGGAAAAUCAGUUGAAGAUUCCAGUCUCUGGAACCAAGUUAGAGGGCCAUAACUAUGUCAGCUCAUCCAGAGAUGCCCCCUUUCAGAGGUAUUAUGGGAAGGUGGCACCUUCAGAAGGUCUUAAAGCUCAAGGGUGGUCAGCAGAUUCCCGUGUUUAAGCUCAGCAGGGACACUGGUGAUGAAGGAGGACAGGUGAUCAGAACGACUCUGCUUUCUCCAAGAGUGGCCUCCCCUCCUCACCGGGUCCCUCCAGGGCCUUGAGCUGGGUGUCCAGCACCAGGGGUGACUGUACGUGCUGGCAUGUGGUAAUUUUGGUAUAAUGUUAAUUUGACCACGGUUAUUGCGGGUUUUUAAUUUAAUCAAAAAUGGACAUUUUACUAUAAGUUUGUAAGAAUUUAUCUGCAAAUUCACUGUCUAAAAGCAAAGCACAGAGUAAAAGGAAUCAGUGUUAA